rnacentral:lncRNA from 10 species
CUUACAACAACCCUUCGAGGUGUUACUGUCUCUAUUUUACAGAUCAGGAAGCUCAAGUUCAGAGAAGUCAGGUCUGGGAACUCCAAGGCAAUAUGUAAAAGAGAGCAAGAAGAUGGCUCAAACUGCCUCAUGUCUGGACCAGGAUCCUCCCUAUCACCCUCCAAGAGGGCACCAGGCUCAGGUGAGUUUUCCUCAUUAUAGUUUAAUUUCAAGGAUUCCUUUCCCAACUGGAGGCAACAUGGUAAGAUGAACCAGCACAGGGCCUUAGGAAAGAGCCGCCUGGGAAUUGUAGGCCUCAGAUCCUUCGCUGUAAAACAGAGAUAACAGUAAUUCCUCAAAGAGGUGUGAGGAUUACAUACACUGAUGUGCACAAAGACGUGGAACACAGUGACCAGCACAGAAUAGACAUCCAACAAACAUCAGCCUCUGAACGCAGCUUCAAACCACCAUGCCUGGCAGACCAGGCCACGGGAAGAGGUCACAGAAGUGGGACACACUGGAGUCCAAGAAACAGGAUGCAGUGGCACACAAAGAUUUGAGUUUCAAAGACCUUUGGCUCAAAACUGUCUAGUGGUCACCACAACGUAGAGGCCUACCUGAAACGCAAGGUUUGGCAAUCUCAAAAAGUACUGUCCCUGUCUCCAAAUCUCGAAUUUUGAAGCGGGUGAAAUCAAUACUGUAGAUGUUGUCUUCGGGUUUACAUAAAUAAUCUGAAAACAAGAGAGAGAAACCAACACUGUUAAAUAAUCCUCCAAAACUACCAUUUAUUUAAUUCUCAAGUUUUGAAGCAAACUCAGAUUUUUUCUUACACAACACACUUAAAAUACUCCCAAAAACUUUCUCAUGUGUUAUCACCAGCAGAAGUUGUAUGGACAGAAUUAGGGGAUCCAACAAAGAAAAAAAAUAACAAGGACUUGCUUUGGAUGAAAAAUUGCAAAACUUUUAGAAACUAGGAUAGAAAAGGUGGAUUUCUUUGGAAACACAUAAAAAUCUUUCAUCAUCUAUCAAGUUGGAUGUCAGAACAGGGCGAACUUUUUAUAGAAUUCCAAUCUAAGACAUUUAAACUGACUUAGCAGAUAAUACAGUGCUAGUUUGCCAACGUUAGUUUGCCAACUGUCAGUGUAAGAAAGCCGAGAUCAGCAAACUUUUCUGUAGAGCCAGAUUCUAAAUAAUUUAGGCUUUGCCGCCACAUGGUCUCUGUCACAACUACUCAACUCUAUCAUUGUAGCCACAAAAGCAUCCACAGACAAUACGCAAAUGAAUGAAUGUGGCUAUAUUCCAGUAAAACUGUAUUUAUGGACACUGAAAUAUGAAUUUUACAUAAC